rnacentral:rRNA from 1 species
GACGUCUCAGUUCGGAUUGCAGGCUGCAACUCGCCUGUAUGAAGUCGGAAUUGCUAGUAAUCGCGGAUCAGCAUGCCGCGGUGAAUACGUUCCCGGGCCUUGUACACACCGCCCGUCACACCAUGAGAGCCGGGAACACCCGAAGUCCGUAGUCUAACCGUAAGGAGGACGCGGCCGAAGGUGGGUUUGGUAAUUGGGGUGAAGUCGUAACAAGGUAUC